AGGACGAACGCUGGCGGCGUGCCUAACACAUGCAAGUCGAACGAGGUCCAACCGGUGGCAACACUGGUGAAGACCGAGUGGCGAACGGGUGAGUAACACGUGAGCAACCUGCCUCGAAGACUGGGAUAACCCCGGGAAACCGGAGCUAAUACCGGAUACCCCCACCGGGUCGCAUGGCCUGGUGAGGAAAUGGAUUCCGCUUUGAGAGGGGCUCGCGGCCUAUCAGCUUGAUGGUGGGGUAAUGGCCUACCAUGGCACCGACGGGUAGCUGGUCUGAGAGGACGAUCAGCCACACUGGGACUGAGACACGGCCCAGACUCCUACGGGAGGCAGCAGUGGGGAAUCUUGCGCAAUGGGCGAAAGCCUGACGCAGCAACGCCGCGUGUGGGACGAAGGCCUUCUGGGUUGUAAACCACUUUCAGCAGGGACGAUUGUGACGGUACCUGCAGAAGAAGCCCGGCAACUACGUGCCAGCAGCCGCGGU
rnacentral:rRNA from 1 species